GUGGCUCAGGAUGAACGCUGGCGGUCUGCCUAACACAUGCAAGUCGAACGCCCUUUUCGGAGGGAGUGGCGGACGGGUGAGUAACGCGUGAGAACCUGCCUUUGGGGUGGGGAAAACAGGGGGAAACGCCUGCUAAUUCCCAAUAAGCCGAGAGGUGAAAGAUUUAUCGCCCAAAGAGGGGCUCGCGUCUGAUUAGCUAGUUGGUGAGGUAAGAGCUUACCAAGGCGACGAUCAGUAGCUGGUCUGAGAGGAUGAGCAGCCACACUGGGACUGAGACACGGCCCAGACUCCUACGGGAGGCAGCAGUGGGGAAUUUUCCGCAAUGGGCGAAAGCCUGACGGAGCAAGACCGCGUGAGGGAGGAAGGCCCUUGGGUUGUAAACCUCUUUUCUCAGGGAAGAAGAAAGUGACGGUACCUGAGGAAUCAGCCUCGGCUAACUCCGUGCCAGCAGCCGCGGUAAUACGGAGGAGGCAAGCGUUAUCCGGAAUUAUUGGGCGUAAAGCGUCCGCAGGUGGUUGUUCAAGUCUGCGGUUAAAGACCGGAGCUCAACUCCGGAGGUGCCGUGGAAACUGAAGAACUAGAGACCGGUAGGGGUAGAGGGAAUUCCCAGUGUAGCGGUGAAAUGCGUAGAGAUUGGGAAGAACACCAGUGGCGAAAGCGC
rnacentral:rRNA from 1 species